rnacentral:rRNA from 1 species
GGAGGAUGCGAGCGUUAUCCGGAUUUAUUGGGUUUAAAGGGUGCGUAGGCGGACAAAUAAGUCAGUGGUGAAACCCUGCAGCUUAACUGUAGAUGUGCCGUUGAUACUGUUAGUCUUGAGUAUGGUCAAGGUAGGCGGAAUGUGUAAUGUAGCGGUGAAAUGCUUAGAUAUUACACAGAACACCGAUUGCGAAGGCAGCUUGCUGGGCCAAUACUGACGCUGAUGCACGAAAGCGUGGGGAUCGAACAGGAUUAGAUACCCUGGUAGUCCACGCCGUAAACGAUGAUCACUCGCUGUUGGCGAUACACAGUCAGCGGCUAAGCAAAAGCAUUAAGUGAUCCACCUGGGGAGUACGGCCGCAAGGCUGAAACUCAAAGGAAUUGACGGGGGCCCGCACAAGCGGAGGAACAUGUGGUUUAAUUCGAUGAUACGCGAGGAACCUUACCUGGGCUUAAAUGUAGAGUGCAUGAGAUGGAAACAUUUCUUUUCUUCGGAACUCUUUGCAAGGUGCUGCAUGGUUGUCGUCAGCUCGUGCCGUGAGGUGUCGGGUUAAGUCCCAUAACGAGCGCAACCCUUAUCGUUAGUUGCCAGCGGGUAAUGCCGGGAACUCUAGCGAAACUGCCGGUGUAAACCGAGAGGAAGGUGAGGAUGACGUCAAAUCAGCACGGCCCUUAUGUCCAGGGCUACACACGUGUUACAAUGGCCGGUACAGAGGGCAGCUACCUGGAGACAGGAUGCGAAUCUCGAAAGCCGGUCUCAGUUCGGACCGGAGUCUGCAACUCGACUCCAUGAAGCUGGAUUCGCUAGUAAUCGCGCAUCAGCCAUGGCGCGGUGAAUACGUUCCCGGGCCUU